CACCACUCAAGCCUGGCUUGGUAUUGGGCGCCGCGGGAGCAAUCCCGCGCGCCUUAAAGUCUCACCGGCUGAGCGGCUCUGUCUCUAAGCGUUGUGGCAACUAAUACGCGGCGGGAUCGGGCGGCGCGGCCGUUAAAUCUUUCUUAAA
rnacentral:misc_RNA from 1 species